AUUGAACGCUGGCGGCAGGCUUAACACAUGCAAGUCGAGCGGUAACAGAGAGAAGCUUGCUUCUCUGCUGACGAGCGGCGGACGGGUGAGUAAUGCCUAGGAAUCUGCCUAGUAGUGGGGGAUAACUUGCCGAAAGGUAAGCUAAUACCGCAUACGUCCUACGGGAGAAAGGAGGGGACCUUCGGGCCUUUCGCUAUCAGAUGAGCCUAGGUCGGAUUAGUUAGUUGGUGAAGUAAUGGCUCACCAAGACCGCGAUCCGUAACUGGUCUGAGAGGAUGGUCGUUCACACUGGAACUGAGACACGGUCCAGACUCCUACGGGAGGCAGCAGUGUGGAAUAUUGACAAUGGGGGGAACCCUGAUCCAGCCAUGCCGCGUGUGUGAAGAAGGUCUUAGGAUUGUAAAGCACUUUAAGUUGGGAGGAAUAGCAGUUAACUAAUAUUUGACUGUUUUGACGUUACCGGCAGAAUAAGCACCGGCUAACUUCGUGCCAGCCGCCGCCGUAA
rnacentral:rRNA from 1 species